GGACAGAAUCACUUUGCAUUAUAUCAAGGACCAAAAAUGUGCCACGUCAUAAAUUAACCCACUUAACCCAAACCACACUUAACUACACUUAAACUAGAGGCCCUUUAACUCAAUCGGACAAACCAGAGUUUCUCUCUCACCAAACCCAUCUGAACAUUUCAAAUUCAAGCUCUCUUUCUCACUCUCUUCUCCAAGGUUCUCUCUCGCCCCGCCGUCACGGUGCCCUAACUUUUUAACUUAGCUCCUCGCUCACCACACAGAUUGAAAUCCCUAACCCACAAACUCAGCUCCUUGCUCUCAUGGAUUCAAGCUCGAUCCCUCACCCACAAACUCAGCUCCUCGCUCACCUCACACUGCGGGUUUCCUCUAUCUCUCACACGGCCUCUCACAUUCACACACACAACCCCGCCGGCGCCGACGAGCAGAGCUGAGCCUAGCUCUGACUUGUCGAGUCGAGCCUAGCCCAGCCCAGCGACGACGCCAAUGAGGCUGAGCCCAGCCAUCGACUCCUCCCCUCCCAUACCCAUCGGCUCUCUCUACCGUCGACUUAUACCCAUCAGCUCACUCUCUCUCACCACAAGAUCCUUUCUCCCUCUCUCCCCUUGCCACCCCUAUACCCAUUCAUUUUUCCUCACCAUACCCAUACCCAUACCCAUCCCGAUUUUGCUUGAGUGAUUCAGAAAUUGUUGAUGCUAAGCCUCUUGUGCUUUCAAGAGGAACAUUGCAGACUGCUGAUUCAAAGGAACCAUUUGCAAGAAAAUGAGUUGGAGCAGCCUAACCUUGAAAAAGGUCUAAAGACGGGUACAAGUAUUGUUUAAGAAAUCAAGUGCAAGCUUUAUGCGAAGUUCCAUGCACUAAUUUUUGCCCAUUUGUUUAGAAGAAAAGGUUUUGAAGUAUCCCAUGACUGAUUGAAAAAAAAUGUACCUUGAAGUUAGCAAUGCAAAAUUCGCUAAUUUUCAGUUUAACUAUUGAUAGAGAUUUGAUAUAAUCUAGCUUGUAGGGCAACUUAGACAUUUAUUUGCGAAGUUUGUAGCAAAUUUUUGAUAUUUUUUGUAAUUGGCUUAGAAGAUACCUGAAGAUGUUGGUUUUGUGUGUGCAUGUUUGAAUAUUUGUUUAGUUAAACAGUGAUCAUAUAUGUAAUAUAUUAUUAACAUUAUGAAAAUACGUUUAAUGAA